rnacentral:rRNA from 1 species
AUUGAACGCUGGCGGCAGGCCUAACACAUGCAAGUCGAACGAGUGGCGGACGGGUGAGUAAUGUCUGGGAAACUGCCCGAUGGAGCGGGAUAACUACUGGAAACGGUAGCUAAUACCGCAUACCAUCGGAUGUGCCCAGCUGGGAUUAGCUAGUAGGGGGGGUAACGGCUCACCUGGGCGACGAUCCCUAGCUGGUCUGAGAGGAUGACCAUCCAUCUUGGAAUGGAGCAACGGUCCAGACUCCAACGGGAGGCAGCAGUGGGGAAUAUUGCACAAUGGGCGCAAGCCUGAUGAAGCCAUUCCGCGUGUAUGAAGAAGGCCUGAGGGUUGUAAAGUACUUUCAGCGAGGAGGCGUUACUCGCAGAAGAAGCACCGGCUAACUCCGUGCCAGCAGCCGCGGUAAUAC